GUAAACAGUGAAAGCAUGUGUAAAAUUACUUUUUAAACAUGAAAUUUAUAAAAUACAUCCGUUCAUCUAUGAAAGUUUUAGUCCUUUUCUUUAUUGUAAUAUUGAGUUCUUUUGUUUGAGUGAGCUGAAUUAACAUUUUUGUUUUAAUUGGAUAACCUAGUUUGGUUCAUUUAUCGGCUUCAUAUUGUCCUGCAAAUAUAUAUAUAUAGGUGUUUAUGGUAAUGAAGUGAAAGAGAAAAAGGUUGUGAAGCGACUGUUUCUCUUUCUAGGCCACCAAAAUGAAGAAUAUGAACAGCCUCUUUGGAAUUCCAUUUGGGCUUUGUUUAGAGUCAGAUAAUGUUUCUAUGCACAGUAUUGUGUCUAUUAGAAGGAGGGCAUGGAAUUCUUGUUAUUAGGACAAGGCUUGAGGCUUAGACAGUGCUGCAUAAUGCUGAUGUGGAGUAUCUGGAUGCACAGAAACAGUAGAGAUUUCAUUGGGAAUGAGACAUUUUUCAAUGAGAUUUUGCUUUUUAAGAAAUUUGUUGUGUUCUUGUGUUUUAAAAUUGUCUAUGAUAAAUAUUUCCCAUUUCCUUGUUAUUUAUCAUUAGAGAUGAAGCUGUUAGCGCAUCACCACGUAACCAAGAUUUGUUUGUCAUUCAUUUUGAUGUUCUACUUUUCAAAUAGUCACCUUGCUUAUGAAAUUAUUUAAAAAAAGUAAAAAACUCAGUCCUGCCUGUUUUGUAGCACUUAAAUAUUUCCCACUCUUUUUUCUUUUUGUGCUAAGUGCGGUUACAGUUUGUUCUCUGUGCACAUGCUUUGGAUGCUUUCUUCCCUUUCU
rnacentral:misc_RNA from 1 species